AUUGAACGCUGGCGGCAUGCCUUACACAUGCAAGUCGAACGGCAGCACGGGAGCAAUCCUGGUGGCGAGUGGCGAACGGGUGAGUAAUAUAUCGGAACGUGCCCAGUCGUGGGGGAUAACGUAGCGAAAGCUACGCUAAUACCGCAUACGAUCUAUGGAUGAAAGCGGGGGAUCGCAAGACCUCGCGCGAUUGGAGCGGCCGAUAUCAGAUUAGGUAGUUGGUGAGGUAAAGGCUCACCAAGCCGACGAUCUGUAGCUGGUCUGAGAGGACGACCAGCCACACUGGGACUGAGACACGGCCCAGACUCCUACGGGAGGCAGCAGUGGGGAA
rnacentral:rRNA from 1 species